GCCUGCCAAGAAAAGGAGGGGCACGGUAGUGGAUCCUACACCCUCUUCUUGUUUCUCUACUAACUGGACUAUGCUUCAGAACCCUGUAAAAGGGCUGAGUCGGAGGGGAAGUGCCCCUGAGGACAACUGGGACGUUAUAGGGUUAUAGAAACUGGUGCCUUGGAUAUAGAAGAAGGAGGGUAAGGAAGGCGUUCCGGACCACGGUCUAAAGCAGGAUCCGCCCUGUCUGUGACGAAGGGCUUCCCAGAAGAGGUGGGGGUGUAUUUGCCCAAGGAUGGAGUGGUUCUGGGGGUGAUGUGGGGAGAGGGUGAGGCUGGAGGGGACCCCUCGGAGUCCGAGAUGAAGGGACUUAAUCUGAGGCAGAGAAAGGGCAAGAGGGGCUGGGCUGGAUAGAACCCGUGCACUACACAGCUCUGAGCACUAUCUGGAGAUAGUGUGGAGGCGCAAAGCCUGACGUAGUUAGGGUUUGACACAUAUUAUUAUGACUUUUUUUUUCCAUCGCAGGCAGUCCGAAGUCUCUUGCUGGCCGCCUUCGGCACCAACUGGGCGGCUCAGAACUCCAUCCCAAAGUUCAGAGUUGGGCCAUGGCUCCUUUGGGUCUCCCCAGUCCACACCUGCAGGCCAGCUGAGAGGCAGGCAAGGGGAGUCUCCACAUGCAGAGGAGGCAGCUGGGUCCAGAAUGGCACCAGGACCAGUCCAGGGGCCCAUGAAGAGGGCUCUGGCCUAGGAGUCCUGGGCCGAGCUCUGCCCCAUCCUGCUGAGAGGAGACAUGAGGAAAGAUGGAGGAGGAGGCUGUUACUCCCCAGACACUGAAGGAGGGGGGAUCCCAACCACCAAGAAGCCUUCCUGAAGAGUGGUGCCAGCUGGAAGGUCUGCGUCAUCAUCGUCGUCUGGGACUGCUGCACACAGCACUCCAGCGGUCAAGGCAGAAGGAAAAUGUCAACCCCAGCCCCAGAAUUCAUCCUUUUCCACUCUGUGCCCCAGAAACUACUUGUAGUAGUGCCUCUCUGUCAGAGUGAAGGAGCCAACAAGGGACCUUGGACAAGCUUACUGCUUUCCUCUGAGCCUCAUUUUCAACAUCUAUCAGCCAGGCAAGAAAUCCCUCCAAUUCCCCAGCCCCAGGAGAUCCAGAUGGACAUGGGACAGUUUUGAAGAUAAAUAAAACCUCUAGCCUGUUCUUCUGA